AUGUACUGCGAUGAAUCCGAGUGGUUCAGCUGGCCCUGGAUGCGGCCCUCCUCCCUCUGCCGGGAGGGCCGGAGUACUGUCGGUCAGAGCUUGGCCAGCCCCGGGGUUCACCCUCCUCCCAGUUCCUGGGGCUCACCUGGAUCUCCAGUUCUGCGAUGCGCUGCCUCAUCUCUGCCACUGCAGCCAUGCUGUCUGCCUCCCGAAGGCGAACAGCCAUCACUUCCUCCUUACUCUGAAGGGAAGGGGGUACAGAAGGGGCGGGUCAAGGAGGUGGCAAGAUCUUAGUGGUUAGCCAAGAUUGCCAGCUGGCCCUUCGCAGCUCCUUCAUUCCCCAGCUCCUUCACAAGACUUGAUGACCUCUCACUUUAAGGCAGGAGUCACUCUGGAUCUUCCUGGUAUCAUCACCAUGUUCAAUUUUAUAUGGUACUGA
ensembl:processed_transcript 4932443L11Rik RIKEN cDNA 4932443L11 gene